GAAGAAUGAUCUGCAUGGCAGAAUCUGGGAGAGGAGUUCAGGCCCUUUGGACUGAUUCUCAAAAGCUGUGUUGACCAUAGCUGACAGAUGAAGAAACUGAGACUCAGAGAGGUUAAGUACCUUCCCCAUGAUCACACAGAAAUGUGAGCCUUGGCAGCAAUCCCUAUGGUGGAAGAAUGAGCAUGGUGUCAGGCAAUAAACACCCAAAUGAGGAGACGGUGUUACAAACGUCAGGGGCUCUAGAGGCC